GAUGAAGAACGUAGCGAAAUGCGAUACGUAAUGUGAAUUGCAGAAUUCAGUGAAUCAUCGAGUCUUUGAACGCACAUUGCGCCCGUCAGUAUUCUGGCGGGCAUGCCUGUUCGAGCGUCAUUACGCCCCUCAAGUCCCCUGUGGACUUGGUGUUGGGGAUCGGCGAGGCUGGUUUUCCAGCACAGCCGUCCCUUAAAUUAAUUGGCGGUCUCGCCGUGGCCCUCCUCUGCGCAGUAGUAAAACACUCGCAACAGGAGCCCGGCGCGGUCCACUGCCGUAAAACCCCCCAACUUUUUAUAGUUGACCUCGAAUCAGGUAGGACUACCCGCUGAACUUAAGCAUAUCAAUAAGCGGAGGA
rnacentral:misc_RNA from 1 species